AAGCUGCUCUCCCCACUCGCAGGGACUCUGGAGCUCGCAUCCAGGUUACGCUUUAUAUGUGCAGAGGAAUGGAUUUCCCUGCGUGUCACCCACUAAGCUAUUACAAGUGCAUGCCACAGUGCCCACUGCUGCCACAUCUGUGUUCUCCAUUGCCUCUCAUGUUUAUAUAUUUGAAUAUACUCGUCUGUUUUACUACAACAGAAUUCUAAAGUGAAUUUGUUACAACCCUACCAUUGCAAAUUCGCAGGAGAUUAGUACGCAGGAAAGGGGAAGCAGCAUUGCUAAGACCCAUAGAACACUCACUCGCUCUCCUCUCCGCAGGUGCACCGAGAAUAUGUGACAAUUCCCUUUUCAUUCCUACCAUAUAGGAGGGGAGGAGAGUAUGUCGGGGAGAUUCCUGAAGGGUUAAUGGCAAUGUGUUUGCUGAGAGAAUAUUUACAUCUUCCAUUUAAAGCUGAUCUUGAAGUUAUAAGACUCCUUCGCCAUCCAAGAAAUGAAACUGCACUUUUCUGGCCUAAAGCCAGCGUCUCUGAACUGAAUGUAAACAAGGAAUAUUGCAAGAGGGCCUUCCAGUGAAACGAAAUUAAAUUGGCUUGGUCGAGCCAUUGGAUGGGAUGGUUCCAGUGGUACCCUCUGCGUGAGAGUCUGUGCGUAAACGGUGGAAAGGGAGGCCGAGCGCCGGAGUUGUUUGAACCUGCUAAGCGCUCUCUUGAGUCCGCAAGAAGUUGGUGCUGCCUCUACGAAAAAUUCAUGAAACUUCUGCAGGAUUGAGAACCUUCUGUGUUUAGGAGGAGAACUCCUUUCUGCUAGCACCAGGGCUAUAUUUAUACUGAUGCACAUUAGAAAGGAUUUGAAGAAGAGAAGUGAGGCUAAACGAUUUUGUGCUAAUGAACCGAGUGAUGUGAUUGUUCUAAAAAAAAUUGCAAUGGACAUGCAGGGUGAUAUACUGCGUUUGAACAGAAACUGUGGACCAGGUGAGAUUUCCAGGUUUUUUUCUUUCGUGUCGUGAAGCAUCUAGCCGGAUGAUUUUCUGUUGUUUAUGUUACGUUACAACGGAUUCUUUUCCUAUUAUUAUUUUAUUGACAAAAAAUACAAUAGUCACUUUGAACACACACCCCCCCACCCCCGCGCACACACUCAUCUUACUGCAAAGUGGCGGAGGGGCUCUGAUCCUGUGGCUCAGUUUUAUGAUAAUAGAAAACUCUGAACGACAAAUAGUGAAAUAAAUACAUAUAUUGUAGUUAUUUUCUUA